rnacentral:tRNA from 1 species
UCCCUGGUGGUCCAGUGGCUAGGACUGCAGAUUUUCACUGCCAAAGGCCCAGGUUCCAUUCCUGGUCAGGGAG